UAGGGAAUCUUCGGCAAUGGGGGCAACCCUGACCGAGCAACGCCGCGUGAGUGAAGAAGGUUUUCGGAUCGUAAAGCGCUGUUGUAAGAGAAGAACGUGUGUGAGAGUGGAAAGUUCACACAGUGACGGUAACUUACCAGAAAGGGACGGCUAACUACGUGCCAG
rnacentral:rRNA from 1 species